rnacentral:rRNA from 1 species
GCAUAUCAAUAAGCGGAGGAAAAGAAAAUAACCAUGAUUCCCUCAGUAACGGCGAGUGAAGCGGGAAAAGCUCAAAUUUGAAAUCUGUCAACAUUUCUUUUGUUGUCCGAGUUGUAAUUUCAAGAAGCUGCUUUGAGUGUAGACGAUCGGUCUAAGUUCCUUGGAACAGGACGUCAGAGAGGGUGAGAACCCCGUCUUUGGUCGAUUGGAUAUGCCAUAUAAAGCGCUUUCGAAGAGUCGAGUUGUUUGGGAAUGCAGCUCUAAAUGGGUGGUAAAUUUCAUCUAAAGCUAAAUAUUGGCGAGAGACCGAUAGCGAACAAGUAGAGUGAUCGAAAGAUGAAAAGAACUUUGAAAAGAGAGUUAAAUAGUACGUGAAAUUGCUGAAAGGGAAGCAUUGGAAAUCAGUCUUACCUGGGUGAGAUCAGUAGUCUCUUCGCGAGACUAUGCACUCUGAACCUGUGGUAGGUCAGCAUCAGUUUUCGGGGGCGGAAAAAGAAUAAGGGAAGGUGGCUUUCCGGGUUCUGCCUGGGGAGUGUUUAUAGCCCUUGUUGUAAUACGUCCACUGGGGACUGAGGACUGCGGCUUCGUGCCAAGGAUGCUGACAUAAUGGUUUUCAAUGGCCCGUCUUGAAACACGGACC